UACGUAGGGUGCAAGCGUUAAUCGGAAUUACUGGGCGUAAAGCGUGCGCAGGCGGUUUUGUAAGUCUGUCGUGAAAGCCCCGGGCUUAACCUGGGAACUGCAUUUGUGACUGCAUGGCUAGAGUGCGGCAGAGGGGGAUGGAAUUCCGCGUGUAGCAGUGAAAUGCGUAGAUAUGCGGAGGAACACCGAUGGCGAAGGCAAUCCCCUGGGCCUGCACUGACGCUCAUGCACGAAAGCGUGGGGAGCAAACAGG
rnacentral:rRNA from 1 species